AUUCUAUCACUUCUGCCAAAUGAAGGUUUGUCCGUUUGCUUUUGCUGAGUUUGUACAAGGGAGUUGUUGGGUUAGAUAUUAGUUUGCUAACUGAUUCCACUGGUCACAAGGUUAUUGCUGAUGCAGGAAUCGAUCAAGGCUCCGAGAACACUUCAAGUGAGACUGAUAGAAUAUCUCGCGAGCUCAACGAGGUUAUUGAUAUUGAUUCAUUGGUCAAUGGGGCACGCGUAAGAAACACAAGACUACCGUAGGAGUUGUACAUAUUGGUUCUGUGAGUGAGGAUGGGAAUUGUUUAUAGUAGGAGUAUCGCAGUAUAAGAAGAGAAGAUCUUGUUGGGGUUACUACAACUAUUGUUGGCGCUUCGAGUCCUUCCAGUUUUCUACCAGUGAGUUUGUCAUAUGUUCCCCUUGCUUGUUCACCAAGCACUGUUAAUGUGGAUACCUCUUCCGCAUGCUGCUGUGCUUUCCCCUCUAUGGUUGUCGUUAGAGAAGCGUCGAUCGGGGGUAAUAAAGGUUCAUAUUCUUGGCAUGAGGACUCGAGUCAACAGGGGUACCCUUAUAACCCUGAUGUCGCGAUCCUUGGAUGGCAAGCUUUAGUGCUAGAGGCUGCUAGACCAAGCAGCGCACAGCUACCCCCAGCCUCAAGCUUGUGCUCCUCUCUAUGAUUCUUACUUUCUAAGGCUAAUAUAGUUGGAUUGAGGUAUGAAGAGGCCCGUCAAAGGGAGCUCGCAGAUACUAAGAUGGAUUUGGCAAGAGUUUGCGAGUAGUAUCACAAGAUGAUGGAGGAGAAAAGGUUAUCAUCAAGCAAAAUGAAAAUAUCACGGAGUGUUUGGCAAUCGUUGAGAUUAAAGCGGAAGGGUUAGAGUAUGAUCUGGUUGCUGAAUGGAAAAGCAAAUAAGCUUUGCUAGCUGAGUUGGACAGGCUUACAGAGGAGCACACAGCUGAAACAGAUAGAAUUAUCCGAGAGUUCCAAGAUCAAGUGGCUAGCACGAUCAGGGAGCAGCUUUAGGUUCAAGUGGAUUUUAAGAAAAAAAUAGCUGAGAAUGUUUUAAGUUUUAUUUCGAAGCUGAAGAUGAACAUACUACUCCUUGCUUAGGUCACUGGUGGUCCCUUCGAUGUUUGUAAAGUGGAUUUUGAUGCUCUCGAGGGGGUGGAUAUGAGCGAGCUAGCCUUUGAUGUGCUAUGUCCUUCGGGUGCUACGUGAGACUCUUUUGUGUCCUUCUAGAAGAAUUCUCCAGCUUUUUACUUAGAGGAUGACUCAAUUGAAGAUAACAUUUUGGUCUCUUCUGCUGAAAAUAUGACCUCCCUUGUUGCUGGUGAUGAUGUGGCCCCUAUUGCUGGAAACGAUGAUGACGUGGCCCUUGCUACUGGUAAUGAUGUGGUCACGGUGCUGAAGGGGAAACUAAUGUACUUUAGCUUGUCUAAUGC
rnacentral:lncRNA from 1 species